CCGCCGCGRUAAUACGUAGGGUGCGAGCGUUGUCCGGAUUUACUGGGCGUAAAGAGCUCGUAGGUGGCUUGUCGCGUCGUCUGUGGAAGUCUGGGGCUUAACUCCGGGUGUGCAGGCGAUACGGGCUGGCUUGAGUGCUGUAGGGGAGACUGGAAUUCCUGGUGUAGCGGUGGAAUGCGCAGAUAUCAGGAGGAACACCGAUGGCGAAGGCAGGUCUCUGGGCAGCCACUGACGCUGAGGAGCGAGAGCAUGGGUAGCGAACAGGAUUAGAUACCCUGGUAGUCCAUGCUGUAAACGGUGGGCGCUAGGUGUGGGGACUUUCCAUGGUUUCCGUGYCGUAGCUAACGCGUUAAGCGCCCCGCCUGGGGAGUACGGCCGCAAGGCUAAAACUCAAAGGAAUUGACGGGGGCCCGCACAAGCGGCGGAGCAUGUGGAUUAAUUCGAUGCAACGCGAAGAACCUUACCUGGGUUUGACAUGCACUAGAUUAGGCGAGAGAUCGUCUGUCCCUUUGUGGCUGGUGUGCAGGUGGUGCAUGGUUGUCGGCAGCUCGUGUCGUGAGAUGUUGGGUUAAGUCCCGCAACGAGCGUAACCCUUGUCUUAUGUUGCCAGCACGUUGUGGUGGGGACUCGUGAGAGACUGCCGGGGUGAACUCGGAGGAAGGUGGGGAUGACGUCAAAUCAUCAUGCCCCUUAUGUCCAGGGCUUCACACAUGCUACAAUGGCCGGUACAGUAGGUUGCGAGACCGUGAGGUGGAGCUAAUCCUUUAAAGCUGGYCGUAGUUCGGAUUGGGGUCUGCAACUCGACCCCAUGAAGUCGGAGUCGCUAGUAAUCGCAGAUCAGCAACGCUGCGGUGAAUACGUUCUCCGGGCCUUGCACACACGCCCGUC
rnacentral:rRNA from 1 species